UACGGAGGGUGCGAGCGUUGUCCGGAAUCACUGGGCGUAAAGCGCGCGCAGGCGGCCUUUUAAGUCUGACGGUGAAAUGCCGGGGCUCAACCCCGUGCCCGCCGCGGAUACUGGGAGGCUGGAGACAUGUAGAGGCAAGCGGAAUUCCGGGUGUAGCGGUGGAAUGCGUAGAGAUCCGGAAGAACACCGGAGGCGAAGGCGGCUUGCUGGGCAUUGUCUGACGCUGAGGCGCGAAAGCGUGGGGAGCGAACAGG
rnacentral:rRNA from 1 species